rnacentral:rRNA from 1 species
UACGGGGGGGGCAAGCGUUGUUCGGAAUUACUGGGCGUAAGGGGCUCGUAGGUGGCCAACUAAGUCAGACGUGAAAUCCCUCAGCUUAACUGGGGAACUGCGUCUGAUACUGGAUGGCUUGAGUUUGGGAGAGGGAUGCGGAAUUCCAGGUGUAGCGGUGAAAUGCGUAGAUAUCGGGAGGAACACCUGUGGCGAAAGCGGCGCACUGGACCACAACUGACGCUGAGGCGCGAAAGCUAGGGGAGCAAACAGG